AAGUGGAGAGUUUGAUCCUGGCUCAGAACGAACGCUGGCGGCGUGCCUAACACAUGCAAGUCGAACGAGAAAGGGGAGCAAUCUCCGAGUAAAGUGGCGCAAGGGUGAGUAACACGUGAGCAACCUGCCCUCAAAUGUGGGAUAACUUACCGAAAGGUGGGCUAAUACCACAUAAGACCACAUUCCAUAAGGAAAGGGGUUAAAAGUGGCCUCUAUUUAUAAGCUAUUGUUUGAGGAUGGGCUCGCGUACCAUUAGCUAGUUGGUAGGGUAACGGCCUACCAAGGCGAUGAUGGUUAGCUGGUCUGAGAGGACGAUCAGCCACACUGGCACUGAGAUACGGGCCAGACUCCUACGGGAGGCAGCAGUGAGGAAUAUUGCGCAAUGGGCGAAAGCCUGACGCAGCAACGCCGCGUGGAGGAUGAAGGCCUUCGGGUUGUAAACUCCUUUCGACCGGGACGAAAAUCUCUGCCAUUAAUAAUUGCAGGGACUGACGGUACUGGUGGAAGAAGCCUCGGCUAACUACGUGCCAGCAGCCGCGGUAAUACGUAGGAGGCAAGCGUUGUUCGGAAUUAUUGGGCGUAAAGGGCGUGUAGGUGGUCAUAUAAGUCGGAGGUGAAAUCCCUCGGCUUAACUGAGGAAGUGCCUUUGAUACUGUAUGGCUUGAGUACGGGAGAGGAGAGCUGAAUUCCCAGUGUAGCGGUGAAAUGCGUAGAUAUUGGGAAGAACAUCUGUGGCGUAGGCGGCUCUCUGGACCGUUACUGACACUGAAACGCGAAAGCUAGGGGAGCAAACGGGAUUAGAUACCCCGGUAGUCCUAGCUGUAAACGAUGGGCACUAGGUGUGGGAGGUAUCGACCCCUUCCGUGCCGCAGCUAACGCAUUAAGUGCCCCGCCUGGGGAGUAUGACCGCAAGGUUGAAACUCAAAGGAAUUGACGGGGGCCCGCACAAGCGGUGGAGCAUGUGGUUCAAUUCGACGCAACGCGAAAAACCUUACCUGGACUUGACAUGCACGGGGAUCCAGCAGAAAUGUUGGAGUCCGCAAGGACUCGUGCACAGGUGCUGCAUGGCUGUCGUCAGCUCGUGUCGUGAGAUGUUGGGUUAAGUCCCGCAACGAGCGCAACCCUUAUCCUUAGUUGCCAUCAGGUAAUGCUGGGAACUCUAAGGAAACUGCCGGCGAUAAGCCGGAGGAAGGUGGGGAUGACGUCAAGUCCUCAUGGCCUUUAUGUCCAGGGCAACACACGUGCUACAAUGGCCGUUACAAAGGGUUGCAAACCCGCGAGGGGGAGCUAAUCCCAAAAAAGCGGCCUCAGUUCGGAUUGGAGUCUGCAAUUCGACUCCAUGAAGCUGGAAUCGCUAGUAAUCGCGGAUCAGAACGCCGCGGUGAAUACGUUCCCGGGCCUUGUACACACCGCCCGUCACACCACGAAAGCCUGUUGUACCAGAAGUCGCUGAGCUAACCCGCAAGGGAGGCAGGUGCCUAAGGUAUGGCCGGUGAUUGGGGUGAAGUCGUAACAAGGUAGCCGUAGGGGAACCUGCGACUGGAUCACCUCCUUUCUAAGGAGA
rnacentral:rRNA from 1 species